rnacentral:rRNA from 1 species
GACGAACGCUGGCGGCGUGCUUAACACAUGCAAGUCGAACGGAAAGGCCCUGCUUUUGUGGGGUGCUCGAGUGGCGAACGGGUGAGUAACACGUGAGUAACCUGCCCUUGACUUUGGGAUAACUUCAGGAAACUGGGGCUAAUACCGGAUAGGAGCUCCUGCUGCAUGGUGGGGGUUGGAAAGUUUCGGCGGUUGGGGAUGGACUCGCGGCUUAUCAGCUUGUUGGUGGGGUAGUGGCUUACCAAGGCUUUGACGGGUAGCCGGCCUGAGAGGGUGACCGGCCACAUUGGGACUGAGAUACGGCCCAGACUCCUACGGGAGGCAGCAGUGGGGAAUAUUGCACAAUGGGCGGAAGCCUGAUGCAGCAACGCCGCGUGCGGGAUGACGGCCUUCGGGUUGUAAUCCGCUUUCGCCUGUGACAAAGCGUGAGUGACGGUAAUGGGUAAAGAAGCACCGGCUAACUACGUG